rnacentral:rRNA from 1 species
GCUAGACAUAGCAGUAAUGCAGUUAACACAUUAAAUGUACCGCCUGGGGAGUACGGUCGCAAGAUUAAAACUCAAAGGAAUAGACGGGGACCCGCACAAGCGGUGGAGCAUGUGGUUUAAUUCGACGAUACGCGAAGAACCUUACCUGGCCUUGACAUAGAAAGAAUUUAGCAGAGAUGUAAAAGUGCUAGUUUACUAGAGCUUUCAUACAGGUGCUGCACGGCUGUCGUCAGCUCGUGUCGUGAGAUGUUAGGUUAAGUCCUGCAACGAGCGCAACCCUCGUGUUUAGUUACUAACAGAUUAUGCUGAGGACUCUAGACAUACUGCCUGGGCAACCAGGAGGAAGGUGAGGACGACGUCAAGUCAUCAUGGCCCUUACGGCCAGGGCUACACACGUGCUACAAUGGGGUAUACAAAGAGCAGCGAUACCGCGAGGUGGAGCAAAUCUCAUAAAAUAUCUCCCAGUUCGGAUUACACUCUGCAACUNGAGUGUAUGAAGUUGGAAUCGCUAGUAAUCGUAGAUCAGCAAUGCUACGGUGAAUACGUUCCCGGGUCUUGUACUCACCGCCCG